UAGAGCUCGAAGAGCUUGGG
rnacentral:misc_RNA from 1 species